rnacentral:rRNA from 1 species
AACGUAGGACACAAGCGUUAUCCGGAGUUACUGGGCGUAAAGCGCGUGUAGGUGGAUUGGUGUGUCAGAUGUGAAAUCCCUGGGCUCAACCCAGGAACUGCACCUGAAACUACCAGUCUUGAGUGGUGGAGAGGGAAGUGGAAUUCCUGGUGUAGAGGUGAAAUUCGUAGAUAUCAGGAGGAACACCAGUGGCGAAAGGCGGCUUCCUGGACACCAACUGACGCUGAGACGCGAAAGCGUGGGGAGCAAACAGG